rnacentral:rRNA from 2 species
GAGCGGCAAAAGCUCAAUUUGAAAUCCCCCGGGAAUUGUGUUCUGAAUAGAUUUUUGGUCCGGCCGGCUGGGUUAAGUCCACUGGAAAGUGCCGCCACAAAGGGAGACAGCCCCGGGAACCCCUUUAACGCCUUCAUCCCACAUCUCCAAGAGUCGAGUUGUUUGGAAAUGCAGCUCUGAUUGGGUGGUAAAUUCCAUCUGAAGCUAAAUACCCGUCCAGAGACCGAUAGCGAACAAGAACAGUGAUGGAAAGAUGAAAAGCGCUUUGAAAAGAAAGUGAAAUAGUACAUGAAAUUGUUGAAAGGGAAGGGCUUGCUAGCAGACACUUAACUGGGCCAGCAUCGGGGCGGCGGGAAGCAAAACCACCGGGGAAUGUACCUUUCGAGGAUUAUAACCCCGGCCCCUAUUUCCAUGCUGCCCCGAGGCCUGCAUUCUAAGGAUGCUGGCGUAAUGGUUGCAAGUCGCCCGUCUUGAAACACGGACCACCGGGAUUGAGGACUGCCCUUCAUCAAGGAUGUUGGCAUAAUGGUUAAAUGCCGCCCGUCUUGA